ensembl:lncRNA
AUGUGGUUGUGUAUUUUUUUUUUUUUUUCCAGAUUCUUUGCUGAAAACCACAGAAAGCUUUUAAGCUGGAGCUAUAUCUUUUGCCUGGGAAUGUGGCUGUCCAAAACUGAUGUAGCGAUGUUGUUUACUGCCAUGGGUGGACAGGAGGGAAAACGCAUGGUGGUUUUGGCGUGGUACACUUUGGACAGAUUAGAAAAUACUCUGCUAAUUAGGGGAAUUCCAGGCAUGUACAGGAAGCAUAUUUCAAUAACCCAUGAUUAUGUUGGGUUUCAUGUAAAGCUAUUUGUUUGGCUGCCAAAGUGUUUUAUGGUGUGAUGCCAACUAUAAUAUAUUCAGAACACAAGCUAAAAACUCUAAACUUUGAUGCUUGAUGAGUUCAUAGGAUGGGAACACAAAGACAAAGAACCUUGAAAACCUCAACAUGAAUAAUUAAGGUAAAUAGACAGACUGUUCUGUAUAGUGAUUAAAACGUAAGUAACUUUUGGGCAUUACAUAGCUAUCCAGAAAUUCAAAACUUUUUAAAACAAAAGCAUGUACUGUAGUAUCUCUAUUAUCUAACUAUAACACUACACAAUUUAUUAUGAGCUGACUUGCUUGUUCUCCUUUGUGGAAUGAGCACGCUGCCAUUCCAACAUAUUUCCAGCCUCAGAGAAAUAUUGGCAUCCUUUAAAAAUACAUUGAAAUAAAAGUCACCUGCAUGUGAAAUUUUUCA